UGCAAAAUUUAGUACCGUUCCAUUAAUUUAUUUCUUGACUUUCAUUUGCAAUUAAAUCAAUUCCACCUUCUGUACGCACGAGGCGUCAGUAAAUGAAAGUAGCGCUGCUCCGAUUAGCAGAUCUGUCUGUCUUUGCUUUGCUCAGCCUUUGUGCUGCAGGAGUCUUGCUGGCUGCAGUGGAAAAGCAAAGUAUUACUGACUUUAACAGUCUUGCCUGUGUGAGAAAUGAUUCUCAAGUUUUGUCUGUUAGGAAAUGCGCUCUGGGUCAUAUUUCACAGGCAGACUUUCGUAGGGUCUCUGCUAACAUUAGGUUUCUAGGUUCCAUUUUUUAGUUGCACUUCCCAUUCAUCACACAGAAUAAGAUCCCAGGAAAUGAAUCUGUGUUGGAUGAAACAAUAAAACUAGCAUCCAGUCUCUGUGCUCACUGUUCUCAUGCGAGGAGACCCCUUGAAAUCAAUAGAAUCAUUCAGGGGAGGCAGACGAGCCAGAGCUAACUCAAAACAGGUACUCUGCUCUGCACAGAAACAAAAUGCUUCUGUCCUCUCUGUCGCUAUGAAAUAUGGGUGGCUCCGGUCAUAUCCAAAUUACAGAAGGAAACACAUUUUUAAAAGGCUUCUGUCAAAAAGCACAACUCUGGACGUUGGUCCUAUGCCGCCGAGUGUUGCUCAUGGGUGACUUUUGCAUAGGCAGAGUGCAAUUUGGCAGAUGAGCAACAAUACACCUGGUCAGCAAAUGCUAAGGGGCAAUUUGAUAAGGAACUGUAUGUGUGUAACUUGUUUGGAAUAGCAGACAUGUCAUCUAAAUUGCUCUUUUUUGAAGUGGUGAGUGUUGAAGCAAAGCACCGGGAAUAUGGAGGGCUGCUCCAUUAGAGCAAUGGCACAAACUGUUUCUGCUGUUUAAUUCAGUUGUUUGCACUCUGUUUCUUUCCUUUUGUAGCCAGUUUUCAAAUGUACUUCAGAGGGAAAAAAUACCUUCCAGUCUCUGUGAGGCUGUUACUGAUAUGGUCAUUUUAAACCAAAAAUACAUGU
ensembl:lncRNA